UAGGGAAGCCACGGAUUGAAAAUUCAUUGUUAAGCUAAUUAUCUAUCAAUCUACUACUAGUUCAUUACUUAUCGAUUCACUUAUGUAAGUAUGAUAAGUCAUCGAUAAUUUGAUUUUAAUUUGAUUUAAAGAUAAAAAAAAUGACAGGAGUACUGAUCUAAUAGAAAAACUAAUUCUCCACGAGUGUUAAUGACGCACGACUUGAAAAUUGACAUAUGAUGACCUGUUAAAAGAAAAUAAAUCAAUUUUUUUUUAGAGACAUCAUUAAAUAGAACACGGGACAAACCAUUAAGGAUUCAUUUCAGUUUAAACAUGACUAAAGAAGAUCGUGGCCGUCUCUUCGGAGACAUCUGAUAAAAUUGGAACGAUACAGAGAAGAUUGUGGCCUUGAAAAUGGGCCUUGAUUAUACGAGUCACAGCCCAACAAAGCAAUCUCGACAAAUAAAUUAAUAAAGUUUAAAGCCUUCAAAAAUAUUUUUUUUUUAAAAAAAACCACCAUAUCACCGCCGUUACUUCGCCGCCGGCCACCGUACUCCUUCAUCCUUUCUCCAAUUCUUAUUUUCUUACUUUUUUUUUUUUAUUUAUUUUUAUUCAUUCUAUUCUUUUUGAUUCGAUCGUGAUUUGGGGGUUUUAUUUUGUAUUUAUGAUUUUGGGUUUUGACCUGAUUAAUUGUUUUAUAUAUCAAUUACAAUUAUUGUUGAAAUUAUGAAUUUGGAUGGUUUUAUGUACCUAAUUGGCAUUUUUAAUGUUUUUUCAAUUAUGAAUUUGGAUGGUUUUAUGUAAUUCGAAUUGCUGCUUCUUGAAAUGUACAAUUGAAAAUAAAUAUUAUCAUUUCAUUGAUGUUAUCAUUUUCAGUUUAGAAGAUAAAAUAUCUGUAUUAGAUAAAAUUAAUUGAUGUUUUGUAUUGAUGAUUUACUGUAAGAAUUAGGAUUGAUAUUGAAUAUAUGAAAUUUCCUAAAAAAAAAUAAUAUAUAUUGAAUAUAUGAAAUAUGUACUACGUGAUUGGCAUUAUAUGAUUGAAUUAUUUUGAUGAAAUUGGUGCUUUGAAAUUGAUGAAAUUGGAUAGUUUUAUGUAAUUAGAAUUGCUCCUUGAAAUUAUUAUUUGACUGAAUUAUUUCAUUAAUUAAUUGAUGUUAUCGUUUUCAAUUUAGAAUUCAAUAUUUGUACUCUGGAUUUGAUAAAAUUAAUUGAUCAUGUCUUUUAAUUGAAUUGAAUUGCAAAAUUUGAUAGUGUAGACUUGAUGGCGGAUGGGAAUGAUGUGGAUGAUAUACCCCGCCAAUUACUGGAUGAAUUGUUGAUUGAAAUUCUGGCAAGAAUGCCCGUAAAAUCCCUAAUCAAAUUUACUUGUGUGUGUAAGUUAUGGCAAUCUCUCAUUAAAUCACCUGAAUUUGCUGCCAAACAAUAUGAUACUCGUACUUUGGCUUUAUCAAAUUAUGAUUGCCAUCACUUCAUGAUCCAUUCGCGUCGGUGGUCCAUUGUGAAUGAUAUUACCUUCCUUUCUUGUCAAACUCUUGACAUUUCACUGUGUAUGAGUGCAAACCUGUCAUCCAUCAACUUCCUCCUGGAGGACAUCAAGAUCUUUUAUGGCCCCUGCAAUGGCAUAUUCUGCAUUCAAAUAUGGACACCCCGACAUGUUUUGGUGCUGUGGAACCCUUCUACUCGACAAGUCUUCAGAACUGCAAGCCAUAAAAAAUAUGGUAUCACUCCCCCACUUGUGGGGUUCAUAUUCACAUAGCAACUUCUCUGAUCUGAUUGUUGAAGUUCCUCAUGAUUCUUUUACAGAUUGUUUGGAUAAAGAAAAGGGAAGGAAAAGAAGGGGAGGGAGGAGAAAGGGAGGGGAGAGAAAAAGGAUGAGUUUUCCUUUCAAAUCUCUCCAUUGUUGGAGGGAUUAAUUUCCUACAAUUAAUCCUUCCAAUUCCCUCCCUUCCUCAUUUUCUAUUCAAAUGAAAGAUACUCCAUCUCUCCAUUUCUCUUCCCUUCCUUUCCCUCCAUUUCCUUCAAUCCAAACAUAUCGUUAGGGACCUUUUCUGUUGGGUGGCGAGUAAGCUUGAGAAAAGACAGCUUCUGUGUCUUCUCUUCCUUAGCAUGGGUAGCGUGGCAUUGUAGGAAUAAGGUGAUUUUUAGUGUUAAUGGUGUUGCUAUUGCUUCUAGUUUUAUGACUCUUUGUGAGGACUAUGAGAUGUAUAAUGCAAAGGUAAUAUUUUUAUGGUCGUAUGGUUGCUGCUGCAGCCCCUGCUGUUACAAAUUGGUUCUGUAAUCUAAACAUUGGACAAGUGCAACAAUGGAGACUGCUUCUCUCUCCUCAUUAUCUUCCCUCAUUCUCUCUCCUUUACAUCCUUAACAAAAACCCAGUUACCACACUAAUUUAUCAACCAAAUUCCCAACAAUUAUUCGCUGUGCAAUGGCUUCUUCUCCCUCUCGCAACUCAAGAAUAUUCCCAGUCUCACUUGGUUCAUUUAAGGUUAAAGAGAACGCCAAUGUCUUGGUGCCCUACAAUACUCUGCAGAAAAUGAACGGGAAAGGAGAUUUUACUUGUACAAUGACCUGAAAAUUGUAUUUCCUCAAAGGCAUACUGAUUCUGAAGGCAAGUUGAAUGUGGAAUUACAUUUCCCAGCAGAUUCAAAGUAUUUCGAAUUCGGUGAUUGAUCUCCUUAUUGUGUAAAUCUACGUCUUCAUAUGGUUGCUGCUGCAGACCCUGCUGUUACAAAUUGGUUCGCUUCUGUCAGACCCUGCUUUGAAGCGUCUGAGAUGUUGCUGGGAGCCUGCGAUAGCUGAAGCUGCUGCUGCUGCACUUUUUGUUCUGGUGGCGGCGAAUAAUCUGGGAUAUAGGGAUUUGGUCCUUGAGUGUGAUGUAGUGCGUAUGAUCAACAACAAGCAAGGAGCUGCUCCAAUUUUUCUUUUCUUUGAUGAUACUUUCAGAUUGUGUAAUUCUCUUAACAGCUUUGAAUGUCUUCAUACUUAGAGGACCGGUAACUCGGUUGCCUAUUUAAUUGCAAGGUGGGAAACUGAAAUUAUUUCGGCUUGUAUUUGUACUACCUCCUUCCCCCAAAGCUUUCAAGUUUUGGUGAAACUCGAUCUAAUUAAUUAA